UAUUAUUGAGGUCGGAAAUGGUUCCUGACACACUCUUCGUGAGUACCUGAGAUGAUGGAUACACCGCUCAUCCAAUAAUA
rnacentral:ncRNA from 1 species